rnacentral:rRNA from 1 species
UACAGAGGGUGCGAGCGUUAAUCGGAAUUACUGGGCGUAAAGCGCACGUAGGCGGCUUGGUAUGUCGGGUGUGAAAUCCCCGGGCUCAACCUGGGAACUGCAUCCGAAACUGCCUUGCUCGAGUAUGGGAGAGGGAAGUGGAAUUUCCGGUGUAGCGGUGAAAUGCGUAGAGAUCGGAAGGAACAUCAGUGGCGAAGGCGACUUCCUGGACCAAUACUGACGCUCAGGUGCGAAAGAGUGGGGAGCAAACAGG